AGAUGAGAUCUCCCACCCAUUUAUGGGGUAAGGCCCCUCGCUAGACGACGAGGUUGAUAGGCCGGAGCUGUACGCACAGCAAUGUGUUCAGGCGACCGGUACUAAUAGGCCGAGGGCUUGGUUUUGCU
rnacentral:rRNA from 1 species